ACGGCGAGUGAAGCGGGACUAGCUCAGGAUGUGAAUCUGCGCUUUAAUGGCGCCGAAUUGUGGUCUAUAGACCUUGACGUUAUCUGCCGGGCCAAGUUCCUUGGAAAAGGACAGCUGAGAGGGUGAGACUCCCGUCCGCCUGGUAGAGUGAGUCAUGUGUCAACGAGUCGAGUUGUUUGGGAUUGCAGCUCUAAUUUGGUGGUAAAUUCCAUCUAAAGCUAAAUAUUGGUGGGAGACCGAUAGCGUACAAGUACCGUGAGGGAAAGAUGCAAAGAACUUUGAAAAGAGAGUUAAAGAGUACCUGAAAUUGCUGAAACGGAAGCGAAGGAAACCAGUGUUUGUUGGUUCAUAUUUCCCUGGCCACUUGUGGUUUGGGCGCUGUGAGCUUGCGUGUGUUUGUCUUGGUUGAUCCCUUUGGAAGAGCGCAGUCAGAGUUGAUGUCUGUUGCUAGC
rnacentral:rRNA from 1 species